CAGACCUGAACCAGACACCCGAACCAUAGACUUGAACCAGACACCCGAACCAGAGACCUGAACCACAGACCUGAACCACAGACCUGAACCAGACACCCGAACCAGAGACCCGAACCACAGACCUGAACCAGAGACCUCCACUGGAGCUGGCUGCUACCGUCCGUCCGUCCGUCUGUCUGCAGAGAGAGUGCAGGCAGUAUAACUCCAGCUGUUAUCUAAUGGAGUCUGUCCUGUAGGACUGCAUUAGAGAUGUAGUGACGGAGGGAGUCUGUCCUGUAGGACUGCAUUAGAGAUGUUGUGACGGAGGGAGUCUGUCCUGUAGGACUGCAUUAGAGAUGUUGUGACGGAGGGAGGGAGUCUGUCCAGUAGGACUGCAUUAGAGAUGUAGUGAUGGAGGGAGGGAGUCUGUCCUGUAGGACUGCAUUAGAGAUGUAGUGACGGAGGGAGUCUGUCCUGUAGGACUGCAUUAGAGAUGUUGUGACGGAGGGAGGGAGUCUGUCCAGUAGGACUGCAUUAGAGAUGUAGUGAUGGAGGGAGGGAGUCUGUCCUGUAGGACUGCAUUAGAGAUGUAGUGACGGAGGGAGGGAGUCUGUCCUGUAGGACUGCAUUAGAGAUGUUGUGACGGAGGGAGUCUGUCCUGUAGGACUGCAUUAGAGAUGUAGUGAUGGAGGGAGUCUGUCCUGUAGGACUGCAUUAGAGAUGUUGUGACGGAGGGAGGGAGUCUGUCCAGUAGGACUGCAUUAGAGAUGUAGUGAUGGAGGGAGGGAGUCUGUCCUGUAGGACUGCAUUAGAGAUGUUGUGAUGGAGGGAGGGAGUCUGUCCUGUAGGACUGCAUUAGAGAUGUAGUGACGGAGGGAGUCUGUCCUGUAGGACUGCAUUAGAGAUGUUGUGACGGAGGGAGGGAGUCUGUCCAGUAGGACUGCAUUAGAGAUGUAGUGAUGGAGGGAGGGAGUCUGUCCUGUAGGACUGCAUUAGAGAUGUUGUGACGGAGGGAGGGAGUCUGUCCUGUAGGACUGCAUUAGAGAUGUUGUGAUGGAGGGAGGGAGUCUGUCCUGUAGGACUGCAUUAGAGAUGUUGUGAUGGAGGGAGUCUGUCCUGUAGGACUGCAUUAGAGAUGUUGUGACGGAGGGAGUCUGUCCUGUAGGACUGCAUUAGAGAUGUUGUGAUGGAGGGAGGGAGUCUGUCCUGUAGGACUGCAUUAGAGAUGUUGUGACGGAGGGAGUCUGUCCAGUAGGACUGCAUUAGAGAUGUUGUGACGGAGGGAGGGAGUCUGUCCUGUAGGACUGCAUUAGAGAUGUUGUGACGGAGGGAGUCUGUCCUGUAGGACUGCAUUAGAGAUGUUGUGACGGAGGGAGUCUGUCCUGUAGGACUGCAUUAGAGAUGUAGUGAUGGAGGGAGUCUGUCCUGUAGGACUGCAUUAGAGAUGUAGUGACGGAGGGAGUCUGUCCUGUAGGACUGCAUUAGAGAUGUUGUGAUGGAGGGAGUCUGUCCUGUAGGACUGCAUUAGAGAUGUAGUGAUGGAGGGAGUGAGUCUGUCCUGUAGGACUGCAUUAGAGAUGUUGUGACGGAGGGAGUCUGUCCUGUAGGACUGCAUUAGAGAUGUUGUGACAGAGGGAGUCUGUCCUGUAGGACUGCAUUAGAGAUGUUGUGACGGAGGGAGUCUGUCCUGUAGGACUGCAUUAGAGAUGUUGUGACGGAGGGAGUCUGUCCUGUAGGACUGCAUUAGAGAUGUUGUGACGGAGGGAGGGAGUCUGUCCUGUAGGACUGCAUUAGAGAUGUUGUGAUGGAGGGAGUCUGUCCUGUAGGACUGCAUUAGAGAUGUAGUGAUGGAGGGAGUGAGUCUGUCCUGUAGGACUGCAUUAGAGAUGUAGUGAUGGAGGGAGUGAGUCUGUCCUGUAGGACUGCAUUAGAGAUGUAGUGACGGAGGGAGGGAGUCUGUCCUGUAGGACUGCAUUAGAGAUGUUGUGACGGAGGGAGUCUGUCCUGUAGGACUGCAUUAGAGAUGUUGUGACGGAGGGAGUCUGUCCAGUAGGACUGCAUUAGAGAUGUUGUGACGGAGGGAGUCUGUCCUGUAGGACUGCAUUAGAGAUGUAGUGACGGAGGGAGUCUGUCCUGUAGGACUGCAUUAGAGAUGUUGUGACGGAGGGAGUCUGUCCUGUAGGACUGCAUUAGAGAUGUAGUGACGGAGGGAGUCUGUCCUGUAGGACUGCAUUAGAGAUGUUGUGACGGAGGGAGUCUGUCCUGUAGGACUGCAUUAGAGAUGUUGUGACGGAGGGAGUCUGUCCUGUAGGACUGCAUUAGAGAUGUUGUGAUGGAGGGAGGGAGUCUGUCCUGUAGGACUGCAUUAGAGAUGUAGUGAUGGAGGGAGGGAGUCUGUCCUGUAGGACUGCAUUAGAGAUGUUGUGACGGAGGGAGUCUGUCCUGUAGGACUGCAUUAGAGAUGUUGUGACGGAGGGAGUCUGUCCUGUAGGACUGCAUUAGAGAUGUUGUGAUGGAGGGAGGGAGUCUGUCCUGUAGGACUGCAUUAGAGAUGUUGUGACGGAGGGAGGGAGUCUGUCCUGUAGGACUGCAUUAGAGAUGUAGUGAUGGAGGGAGUCUGUCCUGUAGGACUGCAUUAGAGAUGUUGUGACGGAGGGAGUCUGUCCUGUAGGACUGCAUUAGAGAUGUAGUGAUGGAGGGAGUGAGUCUGUCCUGUAGGACUGCAUUAGAGAUGUAGUGAUGGAGGGAGGGAGUCUGUCCUGUAGGACUGCAUUAGAGAUGUAGUGACGGAGGGAGGGAGUCUGUCCUGUAGGACUGCAUUAGAGAUGUUGUGACGGAGGGAGAGAGCAGCUUAAGAGUUAAUCUGCUGCACUAAUUGAACAGCUCUGUGGAGGUAGAGGCCGUUUCUCUGAUGGUUCCUGAUCGCUGCUUCAAACAGGACAUGUGCUGAAGCAAUGUGUGUUUCCUCUGAUGCCUGCAGAAAAGAUAGAAGUUUACUGUAGGUUACUGUAGGUUACUGUAGUUUACUGUGGGUUACUGUAGGUUACUGUAGUUUACUGUGGUUUACUGUGGUUUACUGUAGUUUACUGUAGUUUACUGUAGUUUACUGUGGGUUACUGUAGGUUACUGUAGUUUACUGUAGUUUACUGUGGUUUACUGUAGUUUACUGUGGUUUACCGUAGUUUACCGUAGUUUACUGUGGUUUACUGUAGGUUACUGUGGGUUACUGUAGGUUACUGUAGUUUACUGUAGUUUACCGUAGGUUACUGUAGUUUACUGUAGUUUACUGUAGGUUACUGUAGUUUACUGUAGUUUACUGUGGUUUACCGUAGGUUACUGUAGUUUACUGUAGUUUACUGUAGGUUACUGUAGUUUACUGUGGUUUACUGUAGGUUACUGUAGUUUACUGUGGUUUACCGUAGUUUACCGUAGGUUACUGUAGUUUACUGUGGUUUACUGUAGGUUACUGUAGUUUACUGUGGUUUACUGUAGUUUACUGUGGUUUACCGUAGUUUACCGUAGGUUACUGUAGUUUACUGUGGUUUACUGUAGGUUACUGUAGUUUACUGUGGUUUACUGUAGUUUACUGUGGUUUACCGUAGUUUACCGUAGGUUACUGUAGUUUACUGUGGUUUACUGUAGGUUACUGUAGUUUACUGUGGUUUACUGUAGUUUACUGUGGUUUACCGUAGUUUACCGUAGGUUACUGUGGUUUACUGUAGUUUACUGUGGUUUACCGUAGUUUACCGUAGGUUACCGUAGGUUACUGUGGUUUACUGUAGGUUACUGUAGUUUACUGUGGUUUACCGUAGUUUACUGUAGUUUACUGUGGUUUACUGUAGUUUACUGUAGGUUACUGUAGUUUACUGUGGUUUACUGUAGUUUACUGUAGUUUACUGUAGGUUACUGUAGUUUACUGUGGUUUACUGUAGGUUACUGUAGUUUACUGUAGUUUACUGUGGUUUACUGUAGUUUACUGUAGUUUACUGUAGGUUACUGUAGUUUACUGUAGUUUACCGUAGGUUACUGUCAACCAGCUGAAUGAAUAUAUUCUAUAUAAUAUUAUAUUAUAUUGAAUAUAUUAUAUAUAGAGUUUUAUUUAUGGUGCUCAAAACAUCCAAGAAUGACAUUUGAAGAGCUCAAAGUGCUCGUCGCUUUGUACACUUUUCUGCAACGGUUUCCUUUAAGAACCAUUUUUGUAUAUAAAGAUAGAUUUUAAUUAAGAAUGCACCGAUUUAUCGGCCGAACAUCGGUAUCGGCUGAUAUUCGCCUAGUUGACUGCUAUCGACCUCUCAGUAAUGACAUUCAGUGGCAGUGGCCGAUGAUUAUCUGUUGUGUUGCAUCAGUUUUGCGCCGACUAAAGGUUGUUGGUUUCAUCUACUCUGUCUUCUCUUUGUUUGUUC